AUACUUACCUGGCAGUGGAGAGACCACGAUCAAGAAGGUGGUUCUUCCAGGGUGAGGUUUCUCCAUUGCAGUUCGGGGGGGAGGGUUUGACCCUUGUAAUUUCCCCUAAUGCAGGACACUCAACUGCAUAAUUUAUGGUAGUGGGGGACUGCAUUUGCACUGUCCCCUG